UAGCUGCAUGUAUUCUCUCCUUAGAAUGUC
rnacentral:piRNA from 1 species